CCUACGGGUGGCAGCAGUGGGGAAUAUUGCGCAAUGGGCGAAAGCCUGACGCAGCGACGCCGCGUGAGGGAUGAAGGUCUUCGGAUCGUAAACCUCUGUCAGCAGGGAAGAACGGUCACUGUGCUAAUCAGCAGUGAAUUGACGGUACCUGCAAAGGAAGCACCGGCUAACUCCGUGCCAGCAGCCGCGGUAAUACGGAGGGUGCGAGCGUUAAUCGGAAUUACUGGGCGUAAAGCGCUCGUAGGCGGUAUGUCAAGUCAAGGGUGAAAUCCCCGCGCUGAACGUGGGAACUGCCUUUGAAACUGGCAAACUGGAGAGUGUGAGAGGAUAGUGGAAUGCCAGGUGUAGGAGUGAAAGCCGUAGAUAUCUGGAGGAACAUCAGUGGCGAAGGCGACUAUCUGGCACAUAACUGACGCUGAGGAGCGAAAGCGUGGGUAGCAAACAGGAUUAGAUACCCUUGUAGUC
rnacentral:rRNA from 1 species